UCAGGCUCGUAGCGAAUAGCUCAGUAACACGUGGCCAAACUACCCUUCGGACCACAAUACCCUCGGGAAACUGAGGUUAAUAGUGUAUCCCACACUCAGACUGGAAUGUCGAGUGUGACAAACGCUCCGGCGCCGAAGGAUGUGGCUGCGGCCGAUUAGGUAGACGGUGGGGUAACGGCCCACCGUGCCAAUAAUCGGUACGGGUCAUGAGAGUGAGAACCCGGAGACGGAAUCUGAGACAAGAUUCCGGGCCCUACGGGGCGCAGCAGGCGCGAAACCUUUACACUGCACGCCAGUGCGAUAAGGGGAUCCCAAGUGCGCAGGCAUAGAGCCUGCGCUUUUGUUCACCCUAGGGAGGUGACCGAAUAAGGGCUGGGCAAGACCGGUGCCAGCCGCCGCGGUAAUACCGGCAGCCCGAGUGAUGGCCGAUCUUAUUGGGCCUAAAGCGUCCGUAGCUGGCCGCGCAAGUCCAUCGGGAAAUCCACCCGCCCAACGGGUGGCCGUCCGGUGGAAACUGCACGGCUUGGGACCGGAAGGCGCGACGGGUACGUCCAGGGUAGGAGUGAAAUCCCGUAAUCCUGGACGGACCGCCGAUGGCGAAAGCACGUCGCGAGAACGGAUCCGACAGUGAGGGACGAAAGCUAGGGUCUCGAACCGGAUUAGAUACCCGGGUAGUCCUAGCCGUAAACAAUGCCUGCUAGGUGUGGCUCCCACUACGAGUGGGUGCUGUGCCGUAGGGAAGCCG
rnacentral:rRNA from 1 species